GCCGGGGUGAUGAAAUUGGUAAACAUAGCGGACUUAAAAUCCGCCGCCUCACGGCCUGCCGGUUCGAGUCCGGUCCCCGGCACCA
rnacentral:tRNA from 1 species